rnacentral:rRNA from 1 species
AUGAUUAUGACGCAACUGCUUCUGGUUGCAUUGAGGGGGCUUCUAUCGGAAAACGUCCGAUUAGCCAUUGUGAAGCUAUGUGCAUUCCUCAAUGCAAUCUCUCAGAAGGUGAUUGAUCCAGAAAUCGUACCAAGGCUAAGGAGUGAUGUGGUGCAAUUUCUUGUCAGUUUCGAGCUGGUGUUCCCACCAUCCUUCUUCAAUAUCAUGACGAACGUCCUAGUUCAUCUAGUCGACGAGAUUGUCAUCCUAGGGCCCGUAUUUCUACACAAUAUGUUCCCCUUUAAGAGGUUCAUGGGAGUCCUAAAGAAAUAUGUCCGUAACGGCGCUAGGCCAGAAGGAAGCAUCUCCAUGGGCCAUCAAACAGAGGAUGUUAUCGGGUUUUGUGUUGACUUCAUUCCUGGACUUAAGAAGAUAGGUCUCCCUAAAUCACGGUAUGAGGGGAGACUGACUGGAAAAGGCACUCUUGAAAGAGACUCAAUAAUAUGCACGGACGGAUACUCUUGGUCUCAAGCACACUACACAGUUCUACAGAACUCUACCUUGGUGACCCCGUAUGUCGAUGAACACAAGAACAAUCUACGCUCCAAACACCCGGAGCAGUGCGACGACUGGAUUACAUGUGAACACAUCAGGACUUUCAGCAGUUGGUUGGAAACACGUCUCAGAGGUGACAACACUGUUUGUGAUGAGUUGUACUUGUUGUCCAGGGGACCAUCUUUGACUGUAUUGACUUACAAAGGAUACGAGAUAAAUGUGAAUACAUUUUACACGAUCGCCCAAGAUCAAAAGAGCACCAACCAAAACAGCGGUGUCCGCUUUGAUGCAGCAACCGAGAGCGGAAAGGACGCAUAUUAUGGUUACAUAGUGGACAUAUGGGAACUUGAUGACGGACCUGAUUUUAAGGUCCCUUUGUUUAAGUGCAAAUGGGUCAAUCUGUUAGGCGGCGGGGUAUAG